rnacentral:rRNA from 1 species
AACGAACGCUGGCGGCAUACCUAACACAUGCAAGUCGAACGUGAUCCGGGCCUUCGGGCCCGGUGAAAGUGGCGGACGGGUGAGUAACGCGUGGGAACCUGCCCGGUGGUAGGGGAUAACCGCGGGAAACUGCGGCUAAUACCCUAUGCGCCUCGGACUUCGGUCCGGGGGAAAGAUUCAUCGCCAUCGGAGGGGCCCGCGUCGGAUUAGGUAGUUGGUGGGGUAACGGCCUACCAAGCCUACGAUCCGUAGCUGGUCUGAGAGGACGAUCAGCCACACUGGGACUGAGAUACGGCCCAGACUCCUACGGGAGGCAGCAGUGGGGAAUAUUGGACAAUGGGCGCAAGCCUGAUCCAGCAAUGCCGCGUGAGUGAAGAAGGCCCUAGGGUUGUAAAGCUCUUUCGGCGGGGACGAUGAUGACGGUACCCGCAGAAGAAGCACCGGCCAACUACGUGCCA